UACGAAGGGGGCUAGCGUUGCUCGGAUUGACUGGGCGUAAAGGGCGCGUAGGCGGGUCGGUAAGUCAGGGGUGAAAUCCCGCGGCUCAACCGCGGAAGUGCCUUUGGUACUGCCGGUCUUGAGGGAUGCAGGGGAGUGCGGAACUUCCGGUGGAGCGGUGAAAUGCGUAGAUAUCGGAAGGAACACCGGUGGCGAAAGCGGCGCUCUGGACAUCUACUGACGCUGAGGCGCGAAAGCCAGGGGAGCGAACGGG
rnacentral:rRNA from 1 species